rnacentral:rRNA from 1 species
AUUGAACGCUGGCGGAAUGCUUUACACAUGCAAGUCGAACGGUAGAGGGGGCAACCCCUCGAGAGUGGCGAACGGGUGAGUAAUAUAUCGGAACGUGCCCAGUCGUGGGGGAUAACGUAGCGAAAGUUACGCUAAUACCGCAUACGAUCUAAGGAUGAAAGCGGGGGAUCGCAAGACCUCGCGCGAUUGGAGCGGCCGAUAUCAGAUUAGGUAGUUGGUGGGGUAAAGGCUCACCAAGCCAACGAUCUGUAGCUGGUCUGAGAGGACGACCAGCCACACUGGAACUGAGACACGUUCCAGACUCCUACGGGAGGCAGCAGUGGGGAAGUUUGGACAAUGGACGCAAGUCUGAUCCAGCCAUUCCGCGUGCAGGAUGAAGGCCCUCGGGUUGUAAACUGCUUUUGUACGGAACGAAAAGGUCUCUCUUAAUACGGGAGGCUCAUGACGGUACCGUAAGAAUAAGCACCGGCUAACUACGUGCUAGCCGCCGCGGUAA